rnacentral:rRNA from 1 species
AAAGGAAUAGACGGGGACCCGCACAAGCAGCGGAGCAUGUGGUUUAAUUCGAAGCAACGCGAAGAACCUUACCAGGACUUGACAUAUAGAUGACAGGUAUGGAGACAUACUAUUUCUUUCGAGAACAUCUAUACAGGUGGUGCAUGGUUGUCGUCAGCUCGUGUCGUGAGAUGUUGGGUUAAGUCCCGCAACGAGCGCAACCCUUAUUUUUAUUUGCCAUCAGGUAAUGCUGGGAACUAUAAAGAGACUGCCGAUAAGAAAUCGGAGGAAGGUGGGGAUGACGUCAAAUCAUCAUGCCCUAUAUGUCCUGGGCUACACACGUGCUACAAUGGUCGUUACAGAGAGCAGCGAAAUAGUGAUAUCAAGCAAAUCUCAAAAAGGCGAUCUCAGUUCGGAUUGUACUCUGCAACUCGAGUACAUGAAGUCGGAGUUGCUAGUAAUCGCGGAUCAGAAUGCCGCGGUGAAUGCGUUCCCGGGUCUUGUACACACCGCCCGU